rnacentral:rRNA from 1 species
CACGUAGGGGGCGAGCGUUGUCCGGAUUUAUUGGGCGUAAAGAGCUCGUAGGCGGCUAAGUAAGUCGGGUGUGAAAACUCCAGGCUCAACCUGGAGACGCCACCUGAUACUGCUUUGGCUAGAGUCCGGUAGGGGAGCAUGGAAUUCCUGGUGUAGCGGUGAAAUGCGCAGAUAUCAGGAGGAACACCAGUGGCGAAGGCGGUGCUCUGGGCCGGAACUGACGCUGAGGAGCGAAAGCGUGGGGAGCGAACAGG